rnacentral:tRNA from 1 species
GCCGCGGUGGUGGAACGGUAGACACGCAGGUCUCAAAAACCUGUGAGUAUUGCACUCAUGAGAGUUCGAAUCUCUCCCGCGGCACCA